rnacentral:rRNA from 1 species
AACGCGAAGAACCUUACCUGGGCUCGAACGGCUCACGAACGUCCUUGGAAACAGGGAUUUCCCGCAAGGGACGGGAGUCGAGGUGCUGCAUGGCUGUCGUCAGCUCGUGUCGUGAGAUGUUGGGUUAAGUCCCGCAACGAGCGCAACCCUUGUCCUGUGUUGCCAUCAUUCAGUUGGGAACUCGCAGGAGACCGCCAGCGAUAAGCUGGAGGAAGGUGGGGAUGACGUCAAGUCCUCAUGGCCUUUAUGUCCAGGGCUACACACGUGCUACAAUGGCCGGUACAAUGCGCUGCUAAGUCGCAAGACGGAGCCAAUCGCAAAAAACCGGUCUCAGUUCGGAUUGCAGGCUGCAACUCGCCUGCAUGAAGCUGGAAUCGCUAGUAAUGGCAUAUCAGAACGAUGCCGUGAAUACGUUCCCGGGCCUUGUA